rnacentral:lncRNA from 1 species
GCCGGUCUUUAAAAUGAAGAUACGUAAAGAAGGGAGAGGUAACUAUAGCACAGAUCAGCUGUGUGUUCUUGACAAUGUGAAAAUGAAUUUGCGAAGAUUUAUUGCUUAUCAAGAAACUGUUGAGAAAAGACUGACUUCUUAAACAAUCCAAAAAAGAAACCAGUUCUUCCCCCAAAGUAUUCAAUGCUUAGAAUACUAAAAGGUUUUCUUUGAAUGUAUAUGUUUCUGAAAGUCAUUUUUUAAUGAUUACAUUCUGUACAUUCUGUAAAAACUUCAAAACCUGGCCAGGCAUGGUGGCUCACGCCUAUAAUCCCAGCACCUUGGGAGACCGAGGCGGGUGGAUCACUUGAGGUCAGGAGUUUGAGGCCAGCCUGGCCAACAUGGUGAAACCGCAUGCAUAAGCAUGGUGGCACAUGCCUGUGAUCCCAGCUACUCGGGAGGCUGAGGGAGGAGAGUCGGUUGAACCUGGGAGACAGAGGUUGCAGUGAGCUGAGAUCACGCUACUGCACUCCAGCCUGGGUGACAGAGGGAGACCCUGUCUCCAAAAAAAAAAAAAAAAAAAAACUUCAAAACCUGUCAGAAACUCUGUUGCUGGUUUUUUUGUGUGUGUGUUUUGUUUGUUUGUUUUGUUUUGUUGUUUUUUUCUUUUUUGAGAUGGAGUCUCACUGCUGCCCAGGCUGUAUUACAGUGCUGCGAUCUUGGCUUACUGCAACCUCUGCCAUUCCAGGUUCAAGCGAUUCUCAUGCCUCAGCCUCCUGAGUAGCUGGAAUUACAGGCACCCACCACCACACCUUGUUUUUGUUUUUGGUUUUUUGGUUUGUUUUUUUUUUUCAGUAGAGACGGGUUUCACCGUGUUGGCCAGGCUGGUCUCAAAUUCCUGACCUCAAGUGAUCCGCCUGCCCUGGCCUCCCAAAGUGCUGGGAUUACAGGCAUGAGCCACCGUGCCUGGCCAGAAACUCUUUUUUAAGUGAUGAGAUCUGUGUGGCAUUUCUAGCGCUCUCUAAAUUAUGUCUCUGGCAUAUUUUAAUCACUGGAAACUCAAAGAGUGGAAGAGUGGAAGUGCGAAGGAAUCUCAGGUAGCUCUUAACUAAUUCGCCAGCAGUGAAGAAACUUCAACCAAUCAUGUUUUCCUUGAAUUUUGCAAAGAAAGAAAAUCCAAAGCAUUGCUUGGAUGUUCUUUUAAGGCAUUUUAUAUCAGUUGAACCUUAAACUGAAAUAUGAAGACAAGCUUUAUAAACUAGUUUUUUGAUAUGAAGUAUAUCAAUUAUGUUUGCCUUUUGUGAAGAAGUAAAUGAGUUGAAUUUCUAUUUCACUUACUAGAUUAUACUAAUGAGCUAAUGGGGUCAUUGCCAUCCUCCCUACUCAUGACUUUGAUGAGUUAUUGCUGUAACAUCACUUCUUGAUUUAAUUUGAUAUGGAAUCAGAAUUGGGAGAAGGUAUUUUUAAAUAAACAACUUUUUA